CCGUUUGCCAAUAUCUGAUUCUUUUGCGAUUUGUUUACUACAAAUGUCAUAGUGAUCAUGAGAACCAGCCCUGCUGCCCGCUAGCAAAUCAUUAGGCCUGCGAAACAAUUCAGUGAAGAAGUCAAAAUAAAUUAUAAUUUAUCAUCUGAAAAAAGAAAUUGACAGUGAUGAUUGGCAUUCUUUGUUCAUCACUUUAUAUUAUUCAUUUCUUUCUGCUUGUGAUUCACUGAUUCUUAUAACCCAUAGCAUUUUCCAGAAUUCUAAUGGUUAUUCUGGAUUGCCAAAAUUUUGACACUGAUAUGGAACAACAGUGAAAAUAUCACUGCAUGAGUCAUGACAACAAUGAUGGCAAUGCUAAGGGCCCAAGGAUGAGGAACUAGGAUUUCAGGAGGUUUAGCAAUGUUCCGUAACCAAGUAUUUCUAUUGAUAGGCAAACAGUUGGGGAUAGCCCUAUGGAGAUAAACAGCAAGUAGUAAGAAUGUAUAAGAGCAAUUAAAUAAAGGUGCUCUCAAGAUCAAAGAAAGAAGAAGAAAAGAUACUAUGUAAUACAGUAUAACCAAUAUAGACUUGAAAGCAAUUUCUAAUUACUAAUCACUAUGAGUUAGUGGACCAAGGUCCAAUCAACGGUCGUUCCCUAGUUACUGAGAGCAGUAGGUACGGUUGACGGCCUUCUCUGUUCCAAAAUUCAUUAAUUUUGUAACUAAGCUGAAAACUAACAAAAUUUGAAAAGCACCCUAAAAAUGACAACAGAAACAGAACAUAUGAUUCAUCCAAUUUAAAACUAAAUAUGCUUGUGAACUGAGAGAGAAAUCUAAGCUAUCAUUGUAAUUCUGCUGCAAUUACCUUGUGUUAUGAUUUACUCUGUUUGUCAUGUUUUCCCUUUCUGAAGCAUCACCAAAAUGUGUUUUAUCAUGUUCCCGAAUAGCAGCUCUAAAAAUAGUGCAGCAAAGUGACGUCAAAAUUAAUUAUGAAAAAGAGUAUAUAUAAGUGUCUAUUUUCUAUAAAUACAUGCUGCUCUAUUCCUGUAUUGAAAAGAAAACAGGUUAUGAAUCUCAGAAGUUCUUCUUUUUUUUGAGAAAAAAAAUACUGCAGGUAAAUAUGCUCAUGACAUCAUUGCUAGCCGAGGCCGUCCUGCUGCAUGACAUUAAUGCUAAAUUCUACUGUAAGAGAAUUGACAAUGUUACAAUAAAGAAAUUUGCUGCUAGUGUCAGCAUCACUUUCAAUAGAGGAACCUGUUUAAAGAAGACAGUUCUUAUGGAAGCAGUAAAGGAGAGCCACUAUGAUGCAUGUAUAGAUCAUAUUCAACUCUCUUCCAUACAAGAUGUUGUACCAUCAUAUCAUAAAUUCCUUUCCAGGCAUGAAUUUUUUUCCUACCAGGAUUACAACUAAAUAAACUCAGGGUCGGGGUAGUGUAUAAACAAGAAAUUAUUAUAUCUCUAUAAAGCACACACCUAGCACCUUAGUCUCCCAGAAAUUAGUACAAGACAUUGGAUUAAUACAACUCUACAAGGUACUAACAGGUAUUAGCAAUUACCUUGUGUUAUGAUUUACUCCUCCUCUUGUCAUGUUCUCCCAUUCCGAAGCAUCACCAAAAUGUGUUUUAUCUUCCAAAAUGACGGCUCUAAAAAUAGCGCAGCGAAGUGACGUCAAAAUUAAUUAUGACAAAGAGUUGUAUAAAUACAUGCUGCUCUACUCCUAUAAUGAAAAUAAAGCAGGUUAUGAAUCUCAGAAGUUAAUUUUUUUCCGAGAAAAAAAAAACUGCAGGUAAACAUGCUAAUGGCAUCAUUGAUCGUAGAGGCCGUCCUGCUGCAUGACAUUCAUCCUAAAUUCUACUGUAAGAGAAUUGACAAUGUUACACUGAAGAAAUUUGCUGCUAGGUGUCAGGAUCCUAAAUACUGCAGAAAUUUGCUGUUUAAAGAAGACAGUUCUAUGGAAGCAAUAAAGGAGAGCCCCAGUGAUCCAUGUAUAGAUCAUAUUACACUCUCUUUCACACAUGAUGUUAUACCAUCAUACCAUAAAUUUCUUUCCAGGCAUGGGUUCUUUUUCUUACCAGGAUUACAAUAAACAAAUUCACAGGAAGGUAGGGUACAAAUAAACAAGAAAUUAUUAUAAUCUCUAUAAAGCACACACCUAGCACCUUAGUCUCGCAGAUAUUAGUACAAGACAUUGGAUUACUACAACUCUACAAGAUACUAACAGGUAUUUGCAUGAUUAUGCCCACGCGAAUAGAAACAAUGUUUUGUAACAAGGCACUUCUGGAAUAAAAGUUAGAGCAAUGAUCACAUUAAUAACUGGGGCAACAAAUCUGAGAAAGUUAGUGUAAGCAUUCUGAACAGAUAUAUGGGCAUGCAGCAUUGGGAGUUUUACAUUACCUUCUAUCACAAGUUUGUCCAGGAAUUUCUAUAGCUUUCACAGCGCAAUGGCCAGCAUGUUUCGAACUGCCCUUCUCUUCCAGGCCCUUGAACCUAAUUAAUUAAGGACUAAGCUCACUCAAAAUGAACCUGCUCAUAAAUAAAGGAAAAAGGGCGAGAAAUAAUAGGGUUUUUUAUAAUUACCGUCUGCCGAUAUCUGAUUCGCUUGUGAUUUGUUCAUUGUGAUCAUGAGGAACAGCCCUCCUGCCCACUAGCAAAUCUUUAGGCCUGCGAAACAACUCAGUGAAGAAAAGUCAAAAUAAUUUAUCAUAUGAAAAGAAGUUGACAGUUAUGAUUGGCAUUCUUUGUUUAUCACUUUAAUUAUUCAUUUGUUUCUGUUUGUAGUUCACUGAUUCUUCAACCCAUAGCAUUGUCCAGAAUUCUAAUGGUCAUUCUUGACUUCCAAACUUUAGCUACUGAUAUGGAACAACGGUAACGAUAUCACUGCAUGAGUCAUGAAAAAAUUCAUUAACUUUCUAACUAAGCUGAAACUAACAAAUUUUAAAAGGCGCCCGAAAAACGACAACAGAAAUAGAACAUAUGAUUCAUCCAAUUUAAAACUAAAUAUGCUUGUGAACUGAGAGAGAAAUGUAAAUUAUAAGUGUAAUUCUGUUGCAAUUACCUUGUGUUAUGAUUUACUCCACUGUUUGUCAUGUUCUCCCUUUCUGAAGCAUCACCAAAAUGUGUUUUAUCAUGUUCCAGAAUAGCAGCUCUAAAAAUAGUGCAGCGAAGUGACGUCAAAAUUAAUUAUGACAAAGAGCAUACAUAAGUGUCUGUCUUGUAUAAAUACAUGCUGCUCUACUCCUAUAAUGAAAAUAAAGCAGGCUAUGAAUCUCAGAAGUUCUUUUUUUCUGAGAAAAAAACUACUGCAGGUAAACAUGCUCAUGACAUCAUUGUAGCAGAGGCCGUCCUGCUGCCUGACAUUAAUGCUAAAUUUUACUGUAAGAGAAUUGACAAUGUUAUAACAAAGAAAUUUGCUGCUAGUGUCAGCAGCACUUUCAAUAGAGGAACAUGUUUAAAGAAGACAGUUCUUAUGGAAGCAGUAAAGGAGAGCCACUAUGAUGCAUGUAUAGAUCGUAUUCAACUCUCUUCCAUACAAGAUGCUAUACCAUCAUAUUAUAAAUUCCUUUCUAGGCAUGAAUUUUUUUUCCUACCAGGAUUACAACUAAACAAACUCAGGGUAGUGUAUAAACAAGAAAUUCUUAUAAUCUCUAUAAGUACACACCUAGCGCCUUAGUCUCCCAGAAAUUAGUACAAGACAUUGGAUUACUACAACUCUACAAGGUACUAGCAGGUAUUUGCAAUUACCUUGUGUUAUGAUUUACUCCUCCUCUUGUCAUGUUCUCCCAUUCCAAAGCAUCACCAAAAUGUGUUUUAUCUCCCAAAAUAACGGCA
rnacentral:lncRNA from 1 species